CUCUCUCUCUCUCUCUCUCUCUCUCUCCUGUUUGUUACAAACUUUGUGGUUCCCUCUGCCGUUUGGAUCGGAAAAGUUUUUUUCUCUAGCUCUGUGACCGCAUCACUCCUCAUUUAAUUCUCUCUCGUUUCCCCACAAUCCGAAGAAGAAGAAGAAGAUCCUGAUUCCUGUUUUCUGUAUCUAUAUAUCUAUAUAUAUUAUAUAUAUCUCAAGUCUGAUCAAUCGGCGCUCGGAAUAAAUGGAGGUUCAAUAUGAAGAGGAAUACAUAAGGAAUUCGAGAGGAGUCCAGAUUUUCACAUGCCGAUGGCUUCCAAGGCAUUCUUCACCCAAGGCGCUUGUGUUUCUCUGCCAUGGAUACGGCAUGGAAUGCAGUGGAUUCAUGAGAGGAUGUGGACAUCGACUUGCAACUUCGGGGUACGCAGUGUUUGGGAUGGACUAUGAAGGACACGGAAGAUCCAGUGGAGCUCGUUGUUACAUCAAGAAGUUUGAAAACAUUGUUAAUGAUUGUUAUGCCUUCUUCACUUCCAUUUCUGUUGAGGAAGAGUACAGAGACAAAUGCAGGUUCUUGUAUGGAGAGUCAAUGGGUGGGGCCGUGGCCCUUCUUCUGCACAAGAAAAAUCCCAGAUUUUGGAAUGGUGCUGUUCUCGUAGCUCCAAUGUGCAAGAUAUCUGAGAAGGUGAAGCCGCACCCUGUGGUUGUGAAUCUGUUAACAAGAGUAGAAGAAAUUAUACCCAAAUGGAAAAUUGUCCCAACAAAGGAUGUCAUAAAUUCAGCCUUCAAGGACCCCAUAAAGCGUGAAGAGAUAAGGAACAAUAAGUUAAUAUACCAAGACAAGCCCAGGCUGAAAACAGCCCUGGAGAUGCUAAGAGCGAGCAUGAACCUAGAAGACACCUUACACGAGGUAACACUUCCAUUCUUCGUCUUACAUGGAGAAGCCGAUAUAGUAACAGACCCAGAAGUAAGCAGAGCAUUGUACGAGAAAGCAAGCAGCAGAGACAAGACAAUAAAAUUAUACCCAGGAAUGUGGCAUGGUUUGACAUCAGGAGAACCAGACGAGAACAUCGAAAUUGUGUUCUCCGACAUCAUAGAUUGGCUUGACAAGCAUGCCGGCGGGAACACGGCGAAGUUUCAACUUCAAUCCACCACUUGCUCAAAUGGGAAUGGCGUUGAUCAGAGAUUAAAUAAUGGCCAAACCACAUUAAGCAAUGGGAAAGAGAGUCGAAGAAGUCAGAAUCAUCGUGGGAGUUAUCUCUGUGGUUUGAAGGGGCGGUUGCAAUCGGCGAUGUAGUGUCAGUAUUCUUAUAUAAUUAUUAUAUAGUGCCGCCAUUGUUGAUUGAAAAUGCUCUCUUGGCUCAUCUUUCUUCAUCUUGGGAGGGGCUAAGAGGAAAACGAAAAUCGAACUUUAGGAAUGGGAUUCUUUCUUCUUCUUCGGUACAUCUCAAAUGCAAAUGGAAAUAGUAAAGUUUGGUAGCAACUAAGCAAUAAGUUUGGCUCAAUAAUUUUCAUUCUUUUAUUUUUGUUGUUUAGAAUUCUGUAAUUGAUGUGAAUGGGAUGGACCAUCAUUUCCACAACCACAAAUUAACCCCACCCCAAUUCCUCUAAUCAAACUUAACACAUAACAAUUUUUCAAAAAAAAAGAAAAAAAAAAAAAAAAGAAAAAAAGAAGAAGAAA